GCACAACGUAAAGACAUUUGAACCUGAGGAAAGGCGUGCAACUAAGAGUGAUGAAAGUUUGAAAGAGUGCAGACUUUUCAGUCUGCAGGACGAAGCUCAGCCUGGUUCCACCAAUGAUUCCUCAGGACUGGAUUCACAUUUGUGCUCUGGGAGUGCCGAAGCUCAGCCUGGUUCCACCAGUGUUUCCGGGGUUCACACGUGUGAGCUCCACAUUAUGCUGAGAUGGCUAUGUACAAGUGUAUCCAAAGUGACAGUAGAUACAUUGAAAGUCGAAUCAACUGUGCUAAAUCUUGAAUCAAUUCUCUGUUGCCUUUUGCAGGUUGUUUAUGUUUUGUAUAGAAGCGGAUGGUUUAAACACUCAAACUGCACAACAGCUUUAGGGUUGCUCUGCUCACCUCUAUUUCUUCUUCUCCUGCUAGGAAACCCCUCUAUUCCCAGAACAAGUCUCUCCACCUCCCGCUCUUGCCUGAUGCUGUAUGGCUCUGAUGGCCUCUCCUGUGUCCCCUUAGCCCAGGUGCUAAGUGGUCUCUGUUCCCUUAAAAUAACUGUUUUGUGAUGUUAUUGGUCGCUUUUUAAAAAUCCCCUCAUCCCUCUUCUUUUCUCUCUGCUAAACGGCAGCCUUACCAUCUUUUAAGAACAGAAGUCUUUUCUUUCUGCCUGUUAAAGUCAGUAGCUGGUUUGUUACCCAAUAACAAAAGCCCACAAUAUCCUGACCUCAAAGACUAGGAAGGUAGGUGGUACUAAGGUCAGGGAUUGGGAGUCUUAGAGAGCAAGCAACACAUUGUCAUCUCUCUGAAAAGUAAAUUUCCAGUAGCUAGCAAGAGAUUUAUAAAUGCUGAAAUCUAUUAGUCUACUAAUUCCUUUCAUACAAUCAAAGAUCUGUGCAAAGAUUUAUGUUCAUCAUAGUGUCAUUCCUUGUAGUGAAAAACAUGGGAGUAGCACCCAUGCCUGUCAGUAGGGCUUGGAUGGACAAAGUCUAUUAUUGAGUCCUAUGCAAUCGUUCAAAAUCAUGUUUGAUUAUAAUAGAUGAGAAAAUGAUCAUACUAUAAUGCUAAUUGAAAAAAGAAGAUAUAAAACUGUAUAUAUGUUCUGAUCUCAAAGUUUUUAAAAAUAAAAUUUUUUUUAUAUAUAAACACAUAUAUAUGUUUAUAUUUAAAAAUAAAAAUCUGUUUAGCUCUGAAAUUUGUCUUUUUGACUUAAAGCUAUAUUAUGGACAUCCUUUUAGGAUCAUAUUUAUAGAAUUGACUCAUUCUUUAAAAUUUUUUUUUUAUUAUACUUUAAGUUCUAGGGUACAUGUGCACAACGUGCAGGUUUGUUACAUAUGUAUACAUGUGCCAUGUUGGUGUGCUGCACCUAUUAACUCGUCAUUUACAUUAGGUAUAUCUCCUAAUGCUAUCCCUACCCCUUCCCCGCUCCCAACAAUAGGACCCAGUGUGUGAUGUUCCCCUUCCUGUGUCCAAGUGAUCUCAUUGUUCAGUUCCCACCUAUGAGUGAGAACAUGCGGUGUUUGCUUUUCUGUUCUUGCGAUAGUUUGCUGAGAAUGAUGGUUUCCAGCUGCAUCCGUGUCCCUACAAAGGACACGAACUUAUCCUUUUUUAUGUCAUUCUUUUAAAUUAUACAAUAUUUUAUUGUAUGGCUGAAUUGAAAUUUAUUGAACCAUUUUCUUAUUGAUGAAAUUCAAGUGCUUUUAGGUUUUGUUCAGUUUUUUAAAUUGUAAAUGGACAAUUUACAAUUAUAUAGAACUAUGGGGUAGAAAGCACUAUUAUGAUUUAUGAAUACAAUGUGAAAUAAUUAAAUCAAGCUAGUUAACAUACUCAUCAUCUCAAAUAAUUAACGUAUUUUGUGGUGAGACCAUUUGAAAUUUACUCUCUUAGCAAUUUUGAAAUGUGAAUUACUCUAUUAUUAACUAGAUUCACCAUACUGUGUAAUAAAACUCCGAAAAAGAAAAAAGCAACAUAUUCCUCCUAUCUAACUGAAAUUUUAUUCCCUCUAACCAUCAGCUCUCUCCUUUCUCCCCACCCCCUAGCAUCUGUAACCACCAUUCUACUCUCUGCUUCUACAAGUUUGAUUGUUUUAGAUUCCACAUACAUGUGAGAAUAUGCAGUAUUUGUCUUUCUGUGCCUGUCUUAUUUCACUUAGCAUCAUGUUCUCCAAUUCCAUCAAUGUUGUCGCAGAUAACAGAGUUUUCUUCUUCUUAAAUGCUGAAUAGUAUUCUGUUGUGUAUAUAUGCCACAUUUCCCUUAUUCACUCCUCUGUUGAUGGACACUUAGGUUGAUUCUAUAACUUGGCUAUUAUGAAUAGUGCUGCAAUCAAUAUGGGGGUGCAGGCAUCUCUUUAACAAACUGAUUUCACAUCUUUUGGGUAAAUACUUAGAAGUGGUAUUGCUGGAUCAUAUAGUAAUUCUAUUUUUAGUUUUGGAGACACCUCUAAAAUGUUGUCCAUAAUGGUUGUACUAAUUCAUAUUUCUACCAAUAGUGCACAAUGAUUCCCUUUUUGCCAUGUUCUUGCUGACAUUUAUUCUCUUUGUCUUUUUGAUAAAAGCCAUUCUGGCAAAUCUGAGAUGUAUCUCAUUGUGAUUUUAACUUGCAUUUUCCUAAUAAUUAGAAAUGUUGAACAUUUUUCCACUUACCUGUUGGCCAUUCAUAUGUCUUCUUUUGAGAAAUGUCUACUCUUAUGUAUUUUUUUAAAAAACGUAUGCUCAUGGCAGAAAAUAACUUCAGUGUUAAACCACAGUUGUCUCUGGGAGGUUGAAUAUCGUGUAAUUAAAACAUUUUUAAUUUU
rnacentral:lncRNA from 1 species